UGCACCUCCGCUUUAUGUGCAGAGGUA
rnacentral:piRNA from 1 species